GAAGAUAUGCAUUUCCAGUUCCAGAGAGAAAUUCACACUGGAAAUAUAAAUUUAGGAAUUUUAAAGUUAGUGGUCACAUUUAAAGCUGCAGAAUACAAAGAGAUCACCUGUGUGAGAGAACUGAGUCCUGAAACAUACCCGUGUUUAAAGAUCUGGGAGGUGCAGAGGAAUUAUCAAAGGAGGCUGAGAAGGAGCAGCCAGUGAGAUAAGCAAAAAGAAAAGCAAGAGAUAUGGAACUGAACUUCCCUUUGGCAAAAAAUUUAGAAAAUGAUAAUGAGCACCUCAAACCUUCAGUGAACUAUCACAGGGACAACGGUUGUAACACAGAUAUGACUACAGAGCUACUGAGGCCACCCAGAGCUGAUUGGUUUUUGCCUGUUCCAAGUUUGCUUUCUGUCUCUUCUUUCCUGUGAGGCUUCCCAUAUCUAGCCACAUCCUUCUAACAUGCUCCAUUUUACCUUAAUUUAGCCAAUGUCUGUAUCUAUUGCUCUCAACAGAACCAUAACUCUCAUAAAAAUGUAACUUUUUAUAAAAUUUUUAUAAAGAAAACUUUAUAUAGAAAUACAGUAUCAUUACUUAUGAGUUGUUAAAUUCUUCCAACUUAGACCAGAAACCAGAAUUGGUUGAUUUUUAAAACAAUUGCAUUGUUGUUACAUGGAGUGGAAAAAGAAUUAUUAAUUGGGAGUCUAUGAACAGGCUAAAAAUAUAUCUGCCACAGUGAACAUCAAUAAUCAGUUAACAAUUAAAGGGCAAUUUAAAACCCAAGCAGAGAAUGCUAGUGAAUAACUUAAAUAUUGAACAAAAUCCAGAAUUAUAAAAAGAA
ensembl:lncRNA novel transcript, sense overlapping to MACC1